AUUGAACGCUGGCGGCCGGCUUAACACAUGCAAGUCGAGCGAGCGGCGGACGGGUGAGUACUGUCUGGGAACCUUCCUGCUGGAGGGGGAUAACUACUGGACACGGUAGCUACUACCGCAUACCAUCAGAUGUGCCCAGAUGGGUUUAGCUAGUCGGUGGGGUAAUGGCUCAACUAGGCGACGAGCCCUUGCUGGUCUGAGAGGAUGCACAACCACACGGGAACGGAGACACGGUCGAGACUGCGAAGGGAGGCGGAAGUGGGGAAUAUUGCACAAGGGGCGCAAGCCGGAUGCAGCCAGGCGGAGAGUGUGAAGAAGGCCUUCGUGUUGUAAAGCACUGACAUCGAGGAGGCGUUACUCGCAGUAGAAGCACCGGCUAACGCCGUGCGAGCAGCCGCGGUAAUAC
rnacentral:rRNA from 1 species